rnacentral:rRNA from 1 species
UACGGAGGGUCCAAGCGUUAUCCGGAAUCAUUGGGUUUAAAGGGUCCGUAGGCGGUUUUGUAAGUCAGUGGUGAAAGCCCAUCGCUCAACGGUGGAAACGGCCAUUGAUACUGCAAGACUUGAAUUAUUAGGAAGUAACUAGAAUAUGUAGUGUAGCGGUGAAAUGCUUAGAGAUUACAUGGAAUACCAAUUGCGAAGGCAGGUUACUACUAAUGGAUUGACGCUGAUGGACGAAAGCGUGGGGAGCGAACAGG